AGCACAGUGCGGAUCCUCUUCCAUUGCUCAUCCUCCGCUAUGGAGACAGCAGACUCUAGCACUCCCACAAGGCCUAAAUUCUGGGGUGACAAAGGCAAGUUUAUAACUGAAAAGAAGCUAUUGAGUUUCUCUAGAAAAGUUGCAUUAAAGACCCACGAGAAGAACAGGAGGAACUAACUGGGGAAACAGUGAAACUGGCUAUAUACAAAGGGCUGUCAUGCACAAAAUUAACAAGUUGAUGCUACAGAAAAACUGGUUUUUCUCUCCUCUCAUUUAUAGUCAUCUGGGUGCUACUGAUACCACUAGUAAAUAAAAGAUUUCUGGCCAAGGGGUCAUUACUAAA